GUGUAAUGCUGCCCCUGUCUUAGUGUGACCACAUUUCCUGUCAUUCAGUGACACUGUCAGAAAAGCAUUCCUUACAUUUUACUACCCGUCUCUACCCCUUCCAUUUAUAUUAGAACCCCACCUAUCCUUUACAUGAAUAUUAGAACCACCCCUACCCCUUCCAUGCACAAAAGAACCCCACCUACCUCUUCCAUUCAUAUUAGUACUCCUCUAACCCCUUCCAAUAAUUUUUCUACCUACCCCCACCCAUAUUAGUAGCCCCCCUAAACCCUUCCAAUUAUUUUUCUACCUUUGUUCCCCAACACUUUUUACCUGACAUAGCAGGGGGACCUCUGGAUGUCCGGCAGGCGCAGUGCCAGACUGAGCACCGGGUAGUCACAUGACACCCGGCCAGGGCAAGGUUUUUUUGCCGACCUAGGCAAAAUUAAAGUUUGCCGCUCCCCUCCCCCCCAUGUGACAUUACAAUGCCCCACCUCAUAUGAUCUGCCAUGUUACUCAACGCCAGUGCUGGAGUGCCGCCGUGUUUACAUUAAAAAGGCCUGCAGGAACAGGCUAUAGACACCAGAACCACUACAUUAAGCUGCAGUGGUUCUGGGGACUAUAGUGUUUCUUUAAUGUGAGGUAAAUUAGAGAUUAGUGCCACGAAUAAUAUGCUAGAUUGCCUAUUUACAACCAGAUGAGGAUGAUGAUGGGCUCUAGCUACAGUCUGGCUCCACUGGUCUGGUGUAGAACAGGCUCUCUGGAGGCUGUUUGUAACUGUGGUCACAAAAAUCAAUGUUCUGUGAGAACAAUGCAUUGUGUGUUUUUCUGUGUGCAUUGUCUGUGUGUAAGGGGUGCAUUGUGUGCAAUGUCAAUCUCUCCCCCCUCCCC